GCGAGUGUAGCUCAAUGGUAGAGCCUCAGUCUUCCAAACUGAUUACGCGGGUUCGAUUCCCGUCACUCGCUCCA
rnacentral:tRNA from 6 species